AACGGGUGGAGCUUGUCGGUUUAAUUGGAUUCAACGCCGGAAAUCUUACCGGGACCGACAGCAAUAUGAAGGCCAGGCUGAAGACUUUGCCGGAUUAGCUGAGAGGUGGUGCAUGGCCGUCGUCAGUUCGUACUGUGAAGCAUCCUGUUAAGUCAGGCAACGAGCGAGACCCACGCCCACAGUUGCCAGCGUACUCUCCGGAGUGACGGGUACACUGUGGGGACCGCCGCUGCUAAAGCGGAGGAAGGAAUGGGCAACGGUAGGUCAGUAUGCCCCGAAUAUCCCGGGCUACACGCGAGCUACAAUGGUUGGUACAAUGGGUAUCUACCCCGAAAGGGGACGGGAAUCUCCUAAAACCAAUCUUAGUUCGGAUUGAGGGCUGCAACUCGCCCUCAUGAAGCUGGAAUCCGUAGUAAUCGCGUUUCAACAGAACGCGGUGAAUACGUCCCUGCUCCUU
rnacentral:rRNA from 1 species